UACGGGGGGGGCAAGCGUUGUUCGGAAUUACUGGGCGUAAAGGGCUCGUAGGCGGCCAACUAAGUCAGACGUGAAAUCCCUCGGCUUAACCGGGGAACUGCAUCUGAUACUGGAUGGCUUGAGUUCGGGAGAGGGAUGCGGAAUUCCAGGUGUAGCGGUGAAAUGCGUAGAUAUCAGGAAGAACACCCGUGGCGAAGGCGGUUCUCUGGAACGCAACUGACGCUGAGACGCGAAAGCGUGGGGAGCAAACAGG
rnacentral:rRNA from 1 species